CUUGACACCCAUAAGAGGUCCAGCCUGCCCAGUGACUCUGUUCAACGGCCGCGGUAUCCUAACCGUGCGAAGGUAGCGUAAUCACUUGUUCUUUAAAUGAGGACUAGUAUGAAUGGCACCACGAAGGUUAUACUGUCUCCUUUUUCUAAUCAGUGAAACUAAUCUUCCCGUGAAGAAGCGGGAAUAAAAAUAUAAGACGAGAAGACCCUAUGGAGCUUUAAACAAACAUACAACUGCCUUCUUUUUAGAUAUUUCAGAAGAAAACCUUUAUUUAGGCAUUUUGAUAUAGAGUUUUAGGUUGGGGUGACCACGGAGCAAAAAACAACCUCCGCAAUGAAAGGGGCUCUUCCCCUAAGCUAAGGGCUACAACCCUGAGAAUCAAAAAAUUGACACCAAUUG
rnacentral:rRNA from 1 species